rnacentral:lncRNA from 1 species
AAAAAACAAAAAAAAACAAAGAGGUGGCACAAUGAUGACUAAAUUAAAAAGAAGUCCACACCUCGGGUAACAAAUUUCCGAUCGAGUUUAAUAUCGUAUAUUCAAUAGUUGAUGGUCCUCAUUCUUCGCUUUAUAUGAGUUAUGUUGUGUUCCUUGGAUGUAAAAUGUCAGUAUAUUGAUAAAUGAUUGGAAAGAUGCACCAAAGGAUGCGAACAUGAGCAU